AAACUGCGAAACGUGAUGUGAACUGCACUCUUCGUGAAUCAUCCAAUCUUUGAACGCACUUUGCACCUAGUGGCUUUUGUCACUAGGUAUACUUGUUUGAGUAUCAAAAACAACCUCACCUACCUUUCGGGGCAAGGUGGACUUGAGAUUCGAUAGGAACCGCGAGGAACCCUUCGUCUCUUUAAAUGUGGUGGUCCUUUGUGGGAGGUCUCCGUCUGGAACCUGACAGACUAUUGGGAUAACAUCCUGACGAUCGUCUGUCGGUUCAUUUCAAUUAGACGUUGACUAACCUUGGCCAACCUUGAAGGAUCAUGGCGUACCUCUGUUAAAGGAUGGUGCUUUAUGUGACUUUACUAGUUGGAUGCCGUAUGGUGUCUAAUUGUGAUAUGAUCUCAAAUCA
rnacentral:misc_RNA from 1 species